AGCAGCUGAGGAGCUGCGUGGAGUGCGUCUCCGCUCGCAUCGGCUUCCACUGCUUCUGGUGCCAUGGCGUGGGCAGAUGCUCCCAUGGGCUGCUGGAUCGCUUUCGCCAGGAGUGGGUGCACGCUGGCUGCCCAGAGAAGACACACGGUGACAUCUGCGGCGAGGACCCAGAGCGGAACCUGACCUCCACAGCUCCGGGGACCCGGGGAGGAGCGACCACCGCCCCGUCCGGAGUUUCGCUCGGUGAGGUCCCCUUCAUCCCGCAUUGACGGAACAGGCGAUGGCCAGGG